UACGUAGGGUGCGAGCGUUGUCCGGAAUUAUUGGGCGUAAAGAGCUUGUAGGCGGUUUGUCGCGUCUGCUGUGAAAGCCCGGGGCUUAACCCCGGGUCGGCAGUGGAUACGGGCAGGCUAGAGGUAGGUAGGGGAGAAUGGAAUUCCCGGUGUAGCGGUGAAAUGCGCAGAUAUCGGGAGGAACACCGGUGGCGAAGGCGGUUCUCUGGGCCUUACCUGACGCUGAGGAGCGAAAGCGUGGGGAGCGAACAGG
rnacentral:rRNA from 1 species